rnacentral:lncRNA from 1 species
CUUUAUUAUCUAUUCUAUACCUAAAGCUUUACUUUAUUCUUUUCCUUAUAUACCUGGCAUGUUUACCGUUGAUUGAAUUGUCCCUUUAUUAAGAGAAAAACUUGCUGAUUUAUGGGUGGCGUCCCUGAUUUACUACUUAAUUUAUUUACUACCUUAUUUUGUUAAGUUUUGAUUCCUAUAUAAACAUUUUCUUCUUUUAAGUUCACAACAACAAUAACAAAGGAACUCUAGUUCAUCUACACUAUUAUAAUAUCAAAAACCCUAUACUCUCUUCUAUUCCUUAGAAUUCCUACUAGUUCAGCCGGCUGUAAGCCAAGGCUGACCACUGGCUUUAUCUUUACUCUGUACUACAUACUCUCCUUAACUGGUAUGUCCUGAUAAAAUUCACAUUCUAAGCUAUGUGUUUACUUUGUUCCUACAGUUUAUCAAUUUUGAUUUCUAGUUUUAUGAGCUAUUGUACUUAGAUGCAAUCAGUAUGCCUAGAUUGAUGUAUCACAAAGCAUGUAUUAAGCUUAUGAUUUCAUACUAUUUAGCAUGACCAAACCCUGCUUGUUCUUAAAUCUUGAAUGUUUUCAUGAUAUGUUUGUCUGGUACAGUUUGCUCUAAUGUAAUUCUAUUUGUGUCUUAAGCCUAUGUGUUCUCAACUUAACUUUAUAACUACCAUCCACGUAUUUGAUUACCAUCACUGAGGUGUACUAGGUGUUCCCCCUACCUCUUUCCCUUGUGUGAGAUUUUUUUGUUAAGUUGUAUGUUCUUUAACCUUCUUUUUGAGUAUUUUAAAUGUUUUCUUAAACUAUUCAUACUCUUAACUCUGUUCGGACUUUCAUAAAAGUUCUUUCCGCCACUAAGACCUUCUUUCUCUGUCUACUAUACUCUUUCAAAGUCAUUAUGCACUCCCAUAUUACUCCUAGAGUAUUAGGUUUUACCCCUCUGGCAUGUGUACUCCUUGAGAUUCAUGAGAUUUCUCUGAACUCCAGCAUGUCAGAGCAGUCCUUUCCACACUGCACUUAAAUCAGUUCUUGUUUGAGAAAAAGUUUAGGUAUGAGCAUUGUCUGAGAUCCUUAGGGAACUUUGACACACCUAGACAUGAUAUUGUCUAUGGAAACUUGGUAUUUGAGGCUAUUGGAGGCUUGAGAAAGUCAUUUGGGC